rnacentral:rRNA from 1 species
UACAGAGGUCUCAAGCGUUGUUCGGAUUCAUUGGGCGUAAAGGGUGCGUAGGCGGCGCGGUAAGUCGGGUGUGAAACCUCCAGGCUCAACCUGGAGACGCCACUCGAUACUGCUGUGGCUAGAGUCCGGUAGGGGAGCAUGGAAUUCCUGGUGUAGCGGUGAAAUGCGCAGAUAUCAGGAGGAACACCAGUGGCGAAGGCGGUGCUCUGGGCCGGAACUGACGCUGAUGAGCGAAAGCGUGGGGAGCAAACAGG